AAGGGCGAGCUCUCGCGGUGGCCACGUCGGUUUACUGUGCCGAGGGAAUAAAGAAAAAAAAAAGAGAUAUGGUCGAGCGCACGAAUUGCGGGAUUGGCCAGCGACUCUUUCGCCCCUCGCACCCAGCGUCUCCCUCCUAGCUAGGGUUAGGAAAAACGUGGCCGCCGCCGCCGCCGCCCUCCCCCACUUCGCUCGAGGUCACUCCUCUCCAUGUCCCGUCCUGAGCUCCACCUCCUCCAGCCCCCGCCUGGGCUCUGCUCCUUCUUCCUUGUUGGUGCUCAACCGGACGAGAGUGAACUGCCACAAGCCGCAGCAGAGGGACACGUCGAUGAGGAUGGCAAGUCGAGCCGGAGGGGAUCGGGAGGCAUGAUGCGUGGAUACGGGUGGAGCGGCUGAAGAAGGGGUUGUGUGGGGCAACCGGCCCGUCUUCUUCUGUGGAGUGGCCACUGUCGUCGCCAAGCUACUCAACUCAUCGAACACGAUGUCGCCAUGUUCGGGAAGAAGGAUUAUCAGCAGUGGCGUCUCCUCUGCCGAAUGGCCUUCAGUAUUAGAGCUGACGCGGACAGUUGAUUCCUUGCAUCAAUGGGAAGGAUACAUUAGCCAAAGCUUGGGGGCAAGAUGAUCUCCAGCCCGGCCUGGCCACCGCUGGCAUGUCGGUGCCCUCAACAAGUUCCUGCACGGGGAUGUGAAGUCUGGUCCGAGGCCGCUUGGCCGGAUGGCGCUCACUCUAGUGCCAAGUAGAAUUCUUGAGCUCCUGCUUCACUUGCAAGAAGAAGCUACAGAAAGGCAUACUGAUUUAAUUGUUGUGUGCCAUUGCAUCGGUGAGAAGGCAUUCUGCAGUGCCGAGUGCCGGGACCAAGAGAUCAUGAUCGAAGAGGAAGCAAAGAACAAGAUCGCCAUCAGAUGCUCGUCCUGCUCAUCCCUGCCCGCCGGUGGAUGGAACGGACAACAGCGGAGGACAUGGACAUGGCUCGUCCUGAACAACGUCGAGAGUCAUAUGAGGCUUACUGGAAGCGGCAACAUUAGUGGCAUUCCGGUCCAAUGCAGCAGUUCAAGCUUUGCAUAUCCGACAUCAUCGAGCCCAAGUCGCCAUCGAUGUAGACUUGGCAUGCCCGGGUUUACUUUGUGAACAAUAUCAUUUAGGAACUGACUGCCAUUUGCUGAAUUGUUGAAAAGUGGAUAUGAUGGAAGAAGGUACCGGAAAUGUUCUUGUUGUUGUAAGCUAUUUGCAUGAAGCGCUAAAAUGCAAAAGAGAUUGCUUGGAGCAGACAUAGAGGAUUUGACGCUGCUGCUUCUUACCUCUGUAGAGAUCCUGGUAUGGUGCCUCGUAACAAUGAUACUGGAAAUGGUCAGACUCCACAACAAUUGCGCUUACCACGAACGAAGGAUGUUAUUGUAAAUGGAACCGUUGUAAAGGUCAAGUACUACCACACCUACAUGCUGCAUCCGCCACCUCGUUUUUCUCACUGUUCUAUCUAUAACAACUGUGUGGAGCGUUUUGAUCAUCACUGUCCUUGGGUUGGUCAAUGCAUAGGACUGGUAACUAUAUUAAUGCCUAAUAGUCUAAUAUAUUUCAUUGUCAUCCGAAUCUGCAUGAUGAAUCUCUAUUGCAACUAUUAAUCAAUGUUUGGUGCUAACUACCAGCUUUUCUGGUGCAGCAUAAUUAUCGUUUAUUAUAUAUGUUUGUAUUCUCGACCACACUACUAUGCCUCUACGUGUCUGGGUUCUGCUGGGUGUACAUAAUUAAGAUCAAAGAUGCAGAGGAUUCAUCUAUUUGGAGGGCAAUGUUGAAGACACCUGCCGAGUGGUUCUGAUCAUCUACUGUUUUAUUUAUGUGUGGUUUUUUGGCGGUCUUUUUGUCUUUCAUCUCUAUCUGAAGAGCACCAAUCAGGUCGCUUCCCUUUCCACCUUUCCUCUGUUUUAAAACUCUUGGUAUUUAAAUCAUUUUGUUGCAACUUCGUAAUUAUUCAAUCCUUCACCUUUGCAAACUACCAACGAGAACUUUAGGUAUCGAUGCGACCUACGGGCUAACCUAUAUAACAAGAUUGCUUAGAGCUAACAUAGAGGUUAAUUAAAUUAAUCUUUAGUUCUUCUCCUGUCAUGUUUUCAUUAGUAAACCUUAAGGUAAAUUCCCUUAGAUAAUCAUGUCUUCAUGGCCGGCAUGAUGAUGGCGACAUGACCCCCCGUGACGAUGACCCGAUCCGGCCAGACACCGUCUUCUUCGCCACGAGGAAAUGUUUUGCAUGCCUUCAAAGCUUAAUAAAAUAUUUUGCAUGUCUUUGCUUGCUACACUAAUAUGCAGGUUUUGUGGAGUGAUGAACAAGACCUCUUCUUUUCAAAAUAUAUGCUAGAGAGUACUCGUUGGAUUUAUAGAGAUGAAGUGUUUGUAAAAUUGCUUAAUAUCUUAUAUCUUGCUUGUGCAGGGCACCAGGAGAGAGAUCGUAUCAUAUUUCCUGUGAGCUGUGCUCUGGAUCUUCUCCUAUUCAUAUAAGUAACAACACAUUCCUAUGAAGGAAUUCAUAUAGGCUUACAUUUCAUUGCAUCUCCUCUGUCAUUUUUAAUUGGUUAUAUGCAUGUGCUGUUGCAGAAAAUUGUUUCUAAGACAUGUCGGUUACUAUAAUUAAUUGAAGCAGAGUUUUUGCUUGAUAA